GUGCUGGCUUUGGCAGCACAUAUACUAAAAUUGGAACAAUUUAGUAGGUAGCAUGGCCCCUGCACAAGGAUGACACACAAAUUUGUGAACUGUUCCGUAUUUUU